CCUUUUUUUUUUUUUUUGGAUGAUUGCAGAUGUGGGGAGAGGGGAGGAGAGUGGGUGGCAGGACAGGUCUCUAUUGGCUGAUGACAAAUGCUGCACUCUGUAAACAGAACAGAUAAUUGAUAAAUCAAUUCAAAGCAAAGGACACGCCCACUAUGCUUACUAUAGUAUAAAAGGGAAUUCCAGAAAAAAUGGAAUCAGUUGCGGCAGUGGCAAAGCUAAAAAUAUAUUUUUUUCUGCAGGCUCCGCUUAUUUGGGUGGAGUUAUCUAAUUCUUCUUUUGCAACUAGCUUUUAUUAAUCCUUAAACACUAAUUAUUUGUUCCUCCUUCAUAUUUUGGUUUUGUCCAAGGAAGCCUCUCUUACAUAUGUCCUGUACACUUGAGAUUCACCUCCAAUUAAACCACUACAUAUUUCAUAUUAGCAAAAAUUUACUUCCAACUAAAAAGAAUGAGGAAAACUCCGCCUAAGUAGUUUACGCUUAGCCGAUCCCAAGCUUGGAUAAAGGAAGAGGGUUGCAGUAGGUGAUAACUAGCGUAAAUAUUUCGUCACACCUCACGAGAAUAGAAGAUAUUAAGAAGAAAUUGAAAAGAAUUAGGGCAGAGAUAGAAGAACAGAGUCGGAUUAGAGAGAAUAAAGAGAACAAAGGAAGGAAAAGAAGAGAGGAA
rnacentral:misc_RNA from 1 species